rnacentral:lncRNA from 1 species
CAACAUCCAUCCUCAAGGUCCUCUUCAUGGAACCUAGGAUUUAAUAAAUGGCGCUUUUGAGAAUAUAGAUGAAAUCCAGAUUCCUAUAUUCCAAAACAUUAGUGCAUGUUUAGAAUGGCGUUGAGUGACCUUGAUUUUCACAAAUUUACGGUGUUGAUUUUGAUUAGUUAGGAUUUAUAGAUGAGAUUAAGUGUAUGUUUGGUUUUGCAUAGAUAAAAUGAUUUAUGUUUGAAUACACUUAUGUAGAAGUGAGUUGAACGAUAAAUUUAAAUGUUAAAAUCAAUUCUAGAACCACAAACUUUAAUUUCUAAUUCUAGCUCCUCUAGAAGUGGAACCAAACAUGGCUAAGUUGUUUGAUUGCCGGGAUUUGUUUGCAGUAGAAAAAUGCUUCUUACAAAUGAAAUGAUACGUAUACAUUAUGUAAAAACAAAUCUUUAUUUUUAGCACUAAUAAUAUUUUCUUUACACACAUACUGUAACCAAGCCUCAAUUUGUUAUCAUGCAAAAACUGUUUUUACCACAACAAUGGCAACACUGUUUACAAUAUCCUAAAACACCUGUUGACAAUCAUGGUCUGGUCCCUAUAUAGAUGAAACUCCCGACAGAAACAGCUAUAUAUAUGAUGCAAACCAGAUUUCCCAACACAUCAACAGCUACAUAAAAUUUAUAAAUGAGACAAAGAAUAGCCUCUGGUUCUCAUCAUUUUUAUAUAAAAUGAUUGGGUUCCAACCUCAAAUGUUAACAAGUUUUGAACAGAUAUUUAACAAUUAAUUAAUGAUGAUCCGGUGGACAUAGUUGUAGAUUGUAGAUAACAUAAUCAAAGGCAGCAAGCAAGUAAUAUUGAUACUGGCUUACAUAAAAUAACAUCUAACCUUUUUUUUUUAUGUAGUAUUAGAAUUUAUACUACAUCAUACUAAACAUUUUUUAAAUAUAAUAAACUCACGUAUAAUUUGACUUUGCUCUGCGUGUUGUUUGGGGUUUAAUUUAUCUUUACACUAAAAUAUCAUUAUCAAUUUCAAAAAAGUAAAGGUUAAAGGGAGCCAUAAACACGACUCUUAAUACUGUCUCUUUUGUUCAUUCUCUUUGGAGUUCUACCCCGUCUUUAUAAAAUGGUGGUGUGGAUUAAAAACACAUAGUAUAGCACACAUAAAAAAUUGACUUUGCCCCUUUCUUAAAUUCUAUCCAAGUGCUUCUAAAUCUCAUACCGAAAAGAUUUCUAAUGUAAAAAGAAUUUUAAAGAAUUUCAUCGUUCACUUUACAAGUUGAUUUUCUAAGAAUAACCUAAACCCAAUAUAAAUUUAAAUAAUACAAGGCGUGAGGAAGUUUAUUAAGUGAUACAUGAAAACUCUAAAUUUCCUAAAUUUAUUUUUCCUCAGGUUUUCAGCUAACAAUAUGAAAAAGAAGAAAAGAGGGACAUGAAUUAUGCAUCAACAGAUUCAACAAGAGACAGAACUGUCUCACAAAGCCUGUUCUAGCUAAUUAUUUAUGAUACAAAAACAAGAACUGUUCAUUCUUAAUGUCGAUAGACCAAAAAAGAGAAAAGAAACAAAAAAUAAGAUUAUUCAUGAUCUCAAUACUUAUGAUCAUAUUUAUGCCAACAAAUUAGAAUCAUUAUACAUCUUCUAACAAUAUAGAACCUGGACUUAUGCUCCUUUACCAUAGCAAAACAUCCUCCACCAUGCCUUUGUGAAUAAACAGAUUCUCCUCCACCAUCACCUCCAACCUCUCCUCCGCUAUGAAUUUUUCUACGUGAUGCACAUUGACCCAUCCAAAUGAAAUAAAACUAUACUAUAUGAAUCACAAAUAUACAAUAACUGAAAUAAACAAAACAGCUUGAUAGCAGAUUAUGUUUCUUGAACUCUUCUACGUAAUUGAUUUUAUCUUCUUGAGCUUCUAUCUAUCUAUCACUUAGUACUUAUAUGUAUCAAAAUUUGGAACUUUAUAAUAUACGAAUAUGAUUUGUUAUACGCGCCGCAUACUUGCGUGUGA